UACGUAGGGAGCAAGCGUUGUCCGGAAUCAUUGGGCGUAAAGCGCGCGUAGGCGGCCAGAUAAGUCCGGUGUGAAAGCCACAGGCUCAACCUGUGAAUGCCGCUGGAAACUGUCUGGCUAGAGUCCGGGAGGGGCGAGUGGAAUUCCUGGUGUAGCGGUGAAAUGCGCAGAUAUCAGGAGGAACACCGGUGGCGAAGGCGGUUCUCUGGGCGAUGUCCUGACGCUGAGGAGCGAAAGUGUGGGAGGCGAACAGG
rnacentral:rRNA from 1 species